AUUGAACGCUGGCGGCAGGCCUAACACAUGCAAGUCGAGCGAGCGGCGGACGGGUGAGUAAUGUCUGGGAAACUGCAUGAUGGAGGGGGAUAACUACUGGAAACGGUAGCUAAUACCGCAUACCAUCAGAUGUGCCCAGAUGGGAUGCGCUCGGAGUGGGGGUACCGGCUCACCUAGGCGACGAUCCCUAGAUGGUCUGAGAGGAUGACCAGCCACACUGGAACUGGGACACGGUCCAGACUCCUACGGGAGGCAGCAGUGGGGAAUAUUGCACAAUGGGCGCAAGCCUGAUGCAGCCAGGCCGCGUGUGUGAAGAAGGCCUUCGGGUUGUAAAGCACUUUCAGCGGGGAGGCGUUACCCGCAGAAGAAGCACCGGCUAACUCCGUGCCAGCCGCCGCGGUAAUUC
rnacentral:rRNA from 1 species